UUAUCCGGAUGUGAUCGUUCUUGUUUGGGUACUAAUAUGCUUUUGUUUAUUUCCGAUUAAAAUCGAAACACGACACCGACUGACAGUUCUAAGUGGCACUGCACUAGUAUUUCGACACAUUCUGUUUAAAUGGUCUGAUUAAUAAUAAACGCCUGUGAGUACGUGGCCAAGAAGAUUGGCCGCGCUCUGGGCGUCUCCAAAGAUGAGGCAUCGCCUCAGAAAACGGCCAGUUGUUCCGGUAAAGCGGGACAGGAGAAGUACCGACCCCUAAAUAACGAGAGUUCUCAAGGGAAUGGUUACUCAGAAGGAGUCACCAACGGAGAGAGGCAGGCGUGUACAAAGUCGACAGGAUGAGGCUAAAGAAAGGCAACUCCUGUUGCCCUAAAUGUCACCGAUUCUACUGCAGAUUUAUCUCUCUUGUUUUCAUCUAGUGUGUGUAAAACAGGAAUAAUGAUAAGUCAGUUUUAAACAUGAUUAACUUUAUGGAAUCUGACUGUGAUAUGAUGGUAUAUCUGCUGUAGAAAAUAGUGAUUUUGAUAAACUCAAAAGUACAUAAUGUUAUGUUUUUUAUGAUUGAACAAAAAACAAAACACAUAACCAAAAACAUGUGCAUGUACCUCCUUUUCUGAAAUUAUUUUAAAUUUGAAUGAUUUUUAACUUACUCAGGAAAAAUGCUUAAUUUUUGUUGUUGUUUUUAUUUUGAAUGACUGUUAUAUUUGUAAGAUUCCUAGAUUUAGGUUUUAUAACCCCCCCCCCCUCCCGAUUCAUUAUUUUACUUUUUAGAUGAUAUCUUAAAAUACAUAUAGGUAGUUAAGUGUUUAAAAAUAUCUCUUAUGAUGCAAGGCUAUUGUGAAAAAAAACUAAUUUUAUCAGUCUUACCUACUUCACUUGCAAUAUUCUUUUAAAAAAAUCACAAUUUUUAAUGUGUCUGGCAUAAAAUUUGGAAAUUAUUUUCAAUACAACCAUAGAUUUAUAGCAGAAAAUUAUCCUGGUUUGAUAUUUUUCUGAUUAAGCAUAAUUGACAUAUUGUAUAUAUGUGAUUAAUAUACACUCUGACAUUUACAAUGUACGUUCAUGAUUUAUAUCUUUAACAUCUUAAUUUUUUUCACUGUCAUAUUAUUUUGAUAUGUAUGUCAAAUCUAUUUUAUUGUUUUAUUCCAGAAUUGUCAAAACAAGUGCUAAUGAUAAGACUGAUAAAAACAUAUCUUAGAUAUGAAGUCUGUCUUUGAUGAUCAUCACUACAUAGUUGAAUGAAACAAUAAAAUAUUUGGAAUUGUU